UACGUAGGGUGCAAGCGUUAAUCGGAAUUACUGGGCGUAAAGCGUGCGCAGGCGGUAUUGUAAGUCUGUCGUGAAAGCCCCGGGCUCAACCUGGGAAUUGCGAUGGAGACUGCAAGGCUUGAAUCUGGCAGAGGGGGGUAGAAUUCCACGUGUAGCAGUGAAAUGCGUAGAGAUGUGGAGGAACACCGAUGGCGAAGGCAGCCCCCUGGGUCAAGAUUGACGCUCAUGCACGAAAGCGUGGGGAGCAAACAGG
rnacentral:rRNA from 1 species